rnacentral:rRNA from 1 species
AGCGAACGCUGGCGGCAGGCUUAACACAUGCAAGUCGAGCGGGCCUUUCGGGGUCAGCGGCGGACGGGUGAGUAACGCGUGGGAACGUGCCCUCUGGUUCGGAAUAACUCAGGGAAACUUGAGCUAAUACCGGAUACGCCCUUUUGGGGAAAGGCUUGCUGCCGGAGGAUCGGCCCGCGUCUGAUUAGCUAGUUGGUGAGGUAACGGCUCACCAAGGCGACGAUCAGUAGCUGGUCUGAGAGGAUUAUCAGCCACACUGGGACUGAGACACGGCCCAGACUCCUACGGGAGGCAGCAGUGGGGAAUAUUGGACAAUGGGCGCAAGCCUGAUCCAGCCAUGCCGCGUGAGUGAUGAAGGCCUUAGGGUUGUAAAGCUCUUUUAUCCGGGACGAUAAUGACGGUACCGGAGGAAUAAGCCCCGGCUAACUUCGUG